CUAUAUGGGCCUAAUCCAAAGCCCUCUGAAAUCAACAGGAGUCUUUCCAUCGACUCCAAUGAGGUUUGGAUUAGGCCUUUAUUAG
rnacentral:pre_miRNA from 1 species